AAAAAGAGAGGGAAGAAUUAGAUGUGACACUAAGAUUUCCAGCUAAAAUCUGGAGAAGAUGCAGGAAGAAUGCUGAGAAGCCAGGGAGGGGAACCAACCUUUGGAAAAACAGGAUGAGAUUUUGACAUUUUGGACCUUGAUACACAAAGGCCCUUCUCCAGACCGUUCUUCAUGAUGCAAUAAAACCCAGGUGCAAGUUUUAUUUGAGCCUUUCAAUUUCAGAUCAAAUAAGCAGCAGAUUAAUGCUACAUGAAUAACACUAGUCAAAUGGCAACACAUUGCAAUUUUCAAACAAUAAGGGGCUAGAUUCAACUUUUGGGAGAAAGAAACAGAAGUCACAUACUUAUUGAAAAAUUGAGAUCUCUCCUAGACUCAGGCUUCCUUGGUUCUCUUAAUCACUCUCGAGGUCUGAUGAUCAGAAGACCUAAGGCUCAAGUUGUAAGACAAGCCUCCUCAUAAUCACUUGACUGAGCUGUCUGAGGUUGUAAGGUGCAGGAUAGCUUAAUUCCAAGUCACCCAAUCCAUUAUGGCCAAUCAGGGGUAACUGUGAAUGGUUUGAUGGCACAUUCUUUUCAGAGACUAAAAGCCCCAGGUGGGCCGGAGUCUUUGAUUUGUUCAGUGAAGAAUCCCAAGUGUCUGCUAGGGUGCCUGGUGCAUAGUAGAUUCUCAAUAAAUAUUGAAUACACAAAAGACUGCAAUGCAUUGGGGAGACAGUCUCAGGCCAGGAUUGGAGUUCCCACCAAGGCCAAGUUAUUAUAGUAUAGGUUCUCAGUUUUAGGGCUGAAACCUGGCUGGCUUAGUUAGGGCCUGCCUAUUGGGACCAAGGUUUCUUGGAGGGCAUCUCACCCCUCCCAAACUGAGAAGCCCUCAUGGGGUCAUUGGAACAGCCCCUGGAUGGAAUUUUUAAAGCAAGGUCUUAGCCAGCUAGAACCCGGCUUUUUCUUUUCUGGCUUAUUUUAUUUUAUUUAUUUUUCUUCCAGUUUUGGAGAUAUAAUUGACAUAUAGCACCGUAUAUGUUUAAAGUGUACAGCUUAAUAAUUUGACUUACAUACAUCAUGAAAUGAUUAUCACAAUAAGUUUAGUGUAUAUCCAUCAUCUUGUACAGACAGAAAAAAGAAAUAGAAAAAAUUUUUCCUUGUGAUGAGAACUCAGGAUUUACUCUCUUAAUAAGUUUCAUAUAUAACAUACCACAGUGUUAUUUAUACUAAUCAUGUUGUACAUUAUAUUCAUAGUGCUUAUUUAUCUUAUAACUGGAAGUCUGUACCUUUUGAUUACCUUCAUCCAAUUCCCUCCACCCCCAGUCUCUGUUAACCACAAAUCAAACCUAUUUUUCUAUGAGUUUUUGUUUGUUGACCUAUGUUAUUUUCUGGUGCCCAGUAUAGUGAUUUAAUAUGUCUGUAUUUUCUCUUUUUUUUUGGCUGCACUGCAUGGCUUGUGGGAUCUCAGUUCCCCAGCCAGAGAUUGAACCUGGGCCACAGUAGUGAAAGCCCAGAAUCCUAACCACUAGGCCACCAGGGAACUCCUCUAUGCAUUUCAAAAUGAUCACCAUGAUAAGUCUAGUUAAGAAUUACCCAAAGCCCAAAGAGAGCUCCGUGUUUGGUAGGAUAUAUGCCCCUCCCUUGGCAGCCCACAGCCAAUGCCUGACUGACAUGUAGAAGCCCUGCCUUCUUGGCACCAGAUUAAUAUACCCAGGAGUGGAAUUGCUGGAUCAUAUGGUAGUUCUAUUUUUAGUUUUUGGAGGAAACUCCAUACUGUUUUUCACAAUGGCUGCACCAAUUUACAUUCCCAGCAACAGUGCACAAGGGUUCCCUUUUCUCUACAUCCUCACCAACAUUUAUUAUUUGUGUUCGUUUUGAUGAUGACUGUUCUGACAGGUGUGAGGUGAUAUAUCAUGGUCAUCUUAAUAUGCAUUCCUCUGAUGAUUAGCUAAGUUGAGCAUCUUUUCAUGUGCCUGUUGGCCAUCUGUAUAUCUUCUUUGGAAAAAUGUGUAUUCAGGUCUUCUGCCAAUUUUUUAAUCGAGUUGAUAGUUUUUUUUUUGAUGUUGUACAAGCUGUUUAUAUAUUUUCGAUAUUAACCCCUUAUUGGUCAUAGCAUUUGCAAAAUAUUUUCUUCCAUUCAGUAGGUUGUCUUUUCAUUUUUUAUUUUUAAUAUAUAAAUUUAUUUAUUUAUA